AAGUGAUUAAGUAGAGAAGGGCGUACGGUGAAUGCCUAGCCACAUACAGCUGAAGAAGGACGCAUCAAACGGCGAAACGCCACGGGGAGCGGUAAGAACGCAACGAUCCGUGGGUAUCCGAAUGGAGAAAUCCGAUAACGGUAAUGCGUUAUCAUCCAUGAGUGAAUCAAUAGCUCAUGAGAGAGAAACCCAGGGAAUUGAAACAUCUUAGUACCUGGAGGAAAAGAAAACAAAAGUGAUUCCGUCAGUAGCGGCGAGCGAACGCGGAAGAGGCCAAACCAGAACUUGUUCUGGGGUUGUAGGACCUCGAGGUGAGACUUUGACGAUUAGCAGAACGGCAUUGAAAGGCCGGCCGAAGAAGGUGCAAGCCCUGUAAACGAAAAUCGAAGAAGCUCUAGAGGGAUCCUGAGUACGGCGGGGCACGUGAAACCCUGUCGGAAUCCGCCGGGACCAUCCGGCAAGCCUAAAUACGAGUAUGUGAGCGAUAGUGAACCAGUACCGUGAGGGAAAGGUGAAAAGAACCCCGGGAGGGGAGUGAAAUAGAACCUGAAACCGUAUGCCUACAAGAAGUCAGAGCCCGUUAAAGGGUGAUGGCGUGCCUUUUGUAGAAUGAACCGGCGAGUUACCAUAUCGUGCGAGGUUAAGUAGAAGAUACGGAGCCGAAGCGAAAGCGAGUCUGAAAAGGGCGAGAGUACGAUGCGGUAGACCCGAAACCAGGUGAUCUAGCCAUGAUCAGGUUGAAGUCAAGGUGAUACUUGAUGGAGGACCGAACCGACCCCCGUUGAAAAGUUGGCGGAUGAAUUGUGGCUAGGGGAGAAAUUCCAAUCGAACCUGGAUAUAGCUGGUUCUCCCCGAAAUAGCUUUAGGGCUAGCGUCGGAGGAAGCCAUGUGGAGGUAGAGCACUGAAUGCAUGAUGGCCCCAUCCAGGGGUACUGAAUGCAAUCAAACUCCGAAUGCCAUGUGGUACUAUCCGGCAGUCAGACUGUGGGUGAUAAGGUCCAUGGUCAAAAGGGAAACAGCCCAGACCGCCAGUUAAGGUCCCAAAAUGUAUGCUAAGUGGAAAAGGAUGUGGAGAUGCACAGACAACUAGGAGGUUGGCUCAGAAGCAGCCAUCCUUCAAAGAGUGCGUAACAGCUCACUAGUCGAGUGACUCUGCGCCGAAAAUGUACCGGGGCUAAGCAUACUACCGAAGCUGCGGAUUUACGAUUAAACGUAAGUGGUAGGGGAGCGUUCCAUGAACGUAGAAGCCGUAUCGGAAGAAGCGGUGGAGAGCAUGGAAGUGAGAAUGCCGGUGUGAGUAGCGAGAUGCAGGUGAGAAUCCUGCACACCGAUAGCCCAAGGAUUCCAGGGGAAGGUUCGUCCGCCCUGGGUAAGUCGGGACCUAAGGCGAGGCCGAAAGGCGUAGUCGAUGGAAAACAGGCAGAUAUUCCUGUACCCGCGUGAGAAUGAAGGAGUGACGGAGAAGGUUAGUGGAUCCACUUAAUGGAUUGUGGUCCAAGCGCAGGAGCAGAUACGUAGGCAAAUCCGCGUAUCAAUGCAAAGGCGUGAAGGGGAGUGAAAGCUUCGGCGAGUAGCGAAGUUCAUGAUACCAGCUUCCAAGAAAAGCUUCUAGUGCUAAUCUCAUCGCGGCCCGUACCAAAACCGACACAGGUGGGCAAGGCGAGAAGCCUGAGGUGAGCGAGAGAACUGUUGCCAAGGAACUCGGCAAAAUGACCCCGUACGUUCGCAAGAAGGGGUGCUCGAAAGAGCCGCAGUGAAGAGGCCCAAGCGACUGUUUAACUAAAACACAGCUCUCUGCAAAGUCGCAAGACGAAGUAUAGGGGGUGACUCCUGCCCGGUGCUGGAAGGUUAAGAGGAUGUGUCAUUCCGAAAGGGAGAAGCAUUGAAUUGAAGCCCCAGUGAACGGCGGCCGUAACUAUAACGGUCCUAAGGUAGCGAAAUUCCUUGUCAGGUAAGUUCUGACCCGCACGAAAGGAGUAACGAUUUGGGCGCUGUCUCGGCAGCAGACUCGGUGAAAUCUUAGUCCCGGUGAAGAUGCCGGGUACCCGCAACUAGACGGAAAGACCCCAUGGAGCUUUACUGUAGCCUGAUAUUGAAUUUUGAUCAAACAUGUACAGGAUAGGUGGGAGACAGAGAGACCUGCACGCCAGUGUAGGAGGAGUCGACGUUGGGAUACCACCCUUGUUUGAUUGAAGUUCUAACCUGCUUCCGUGACCCGGAAGAGGGAGAGUGUCAGGUGGGCAGUUUGACUGGGGCGGUCGCCUCCUAAAGAGUAACGGAGGCGCCCAAAGGUACCCUCAGAUUGGUUGGAAAUCAAUCGACGAGUGCAAAUGCAGAAGGGUGCUUGACUGCGAGACCAACAAGUCGAGCAGGGACGAAAGUCGGGAUUAGUGAUCCGGCGGUGCCGAAUGGAAGGGCCGUCGCUCAACGGAUAAAAGCUACCCUGGGGAUAACAGGCUGAUCUCGCCCAAGAGUUCACAUCGACGGCGAGGUUUGGCACCUCGAUGUCGGCUCAUCGCAUCCUGGAGCUGAAUUCGGUUCCAAGGGUUGGGCUGUCCGCCCAUUAAAGCGGUACGCGAGCUGGGUUCAGAACGUCGUGAGACAGUUCGGUCCCUAUCUGUUGUGGGCGUAGGAAAUUUGAGGAGAUCUGUCCUUAGUACGAGAGGACCGGGAUGGACCUACCGCUGGUGCACCAGUUGUAUCGCCAGAUGCAUAGCUGGGUAGCUAAGUAGGGAACGGAUAAGCGCUGAAGGCAUCUAAGCACGAAACCGACUCCAAGAUGAGAUUUCCCAUACGCAAGUAGUAAGACCCCUUGAAGACGACAAGGUAGAUAGGUCAGAGAUGGAAGUGUAGAAAUACAUGGAGUUGACUGAUACUAAUGGUACGAGGACUUAAUCAC
rnacentral:rRNA from 1 species